AGUGAACGCUGGCGGUAGGCCUAACACAUGCCAGUCGAACGGCAGCACAGUAAGAGCUUGCUCUUACGGGUGGCGAGUGGCGGACGGGUGAGGAAUACAUCGGAAUCUACUUUUUCGUGGGGGAUAACGUAGGGAAACUUACGCUAAUACCGCAUACGACCUACGGGUGAAAGCAGGGGAUCUUCGGACCUUGCGCGAUUGAAUGAGCCGAUGUCGGAUUAGCUAGUUGGCGGGGUAAAGGCCCACCAAGGCGACGAUCCGUAGCUGGUCUGAGAGGAUGAUCAGCCACACUGGAACUGAGACACGGUCCAGACUCCUACGGGAGGCAGCAGUGGGGAAUAUUGGACAAUGGGCGCAAGCCUGAUCCAGCCAUACCGCGUGGGUGAAGAAGGCCUUCGGGUUGUAAAGCCCUUUUGUUGGGAAAGAAAAGCAGCAGGUUAAUACCCCGCUGUUCUGACGGUACCCAAAGAAUAAGCACCGGCUAACUUCG
rnacentral:rRNA from 1 species